rnacentral:tRNA from 1 species
GCUGUGGCUCAGUGGUAGAGCACUUGCUUAGCAUGUGUGAGGCACUGGGUUCGAGUCUCAGCACUGCA